AAUAUGGCCAAAUGGUGGAACUGAAUCCCCAUUGUGGUUGCUGAGAUGGGUGAUUUUACGUAGCAUUAUAGAAUUUAGAAAUUUAUUUUUAUGUGUGUGCUGUUCCUUAAUCUGUGUUCUAUAACUCUUAGACCAAUAGUUACAGCUUUUCUUUCAUUUUCUAGAUUACUAUUUUUAAUGAAGGAUGUACCCAACAUACCUUUCUGGAUUCUAAAUAAUGUACAGAAACUUAAUUGGCUACAUUUAAUACAGUACUUAUUUAAGGAAUAUUGUUGUUCUAUCUUGGUUUUAUUUCUCUUCUAAGAUGUUACAUAAGCCUAGGUCUGCAAGAAGUGCACUUGUACUAAAGAAAAACAUUUGCUCUCUCUCUCUCUUUUCUCCCCCACGCAAAAGGAGCAAGAUGCUUGAGCUGCAAUAAUAAUCCACAGAUAAGAAGUCUUUAUCUGGAGUACUUCUAUUCCUUCAUCUUCAGCUAGCAUAAGUCUGCACCGCCAGGCACCAUCGCGAUUACUUUCUGUGCAGUUCUCUCCUCGACAAACUCAGGAACCAUUUGUCUUCUUCUCUGAGUUCCACCUUAUUCAGAAUCUCCAAAAUACCCACAAAGAUCAAUCACGUCAGUGGAUUAGAAUAUUUGAUAAAGUGAUAGGCAUCUGUCUAUUCCAUCCCUUUAACAACAUCUGUAUCCUGAGUAACCGCUUCUGCUUCAAGCGAAUAAAAGGGAUGGUAAAAUCGC